rnacentral:lncRNA from 1 species
CCACAUUUCACUACUCGAUUUCAAGUAUGAUACAAAUAUUCUUUAUUUGCAUUAAAAAACUUAAUUUUGGCUGGUUGUUUUUCGGAGUUUGGUAAGGCUUAUUAUCUACUGACUGAUGGCUCUCUCCAUUCGUGGAACAGACUUGAAUACUUUCCGAAAUAGUUUCUGGGUCUUGACCCAACUUGUGGGUAACUGAAUACUGAAUUAUCGCGGUGAAUAGGAUUCUCAGUCCUUGUCAUCUCUCAUUCCGGUGCACAGUUCCCUGCUUACUUCCUCGCAUGGUUAAUUCUCUCUUGUGAGAUCUAGGAAAUGUCGGCGAUGUUGAUUUUAGAUGGUUUUGUGUUUGUGAGCACAGUUUCCAGCGCGCUUUGUCUUCAUCUUUAUCCAAGCACGAGAAUCCAAUGUAUAUUCUUCCGUAAGCUCUCUGUGCAGCGAUCUGUUGCGAGAAGUCGAGAGGGUCUUGAGUCUUAGAUUGGUUGACGCCUUACGCUAUUCACUCGAAUGUAGGGGUUGCGAGGUCCUGGAGGCUUUGUUCUUUGCAUCGUGAGAAGCAUCGCUUUAGCUGGGAAUCUGUUGCGGUGACUAGGGUUACGUGUUGAAAUUGGCGAGUUUUUGUUUUGGAAUUAGGGGGUUUCCGCACGGUUGCUGUUUUAGAUCUCCUUUCGGACCUCGGCGUAGGUGCUCAGAUGGUUUGGAUGUCUUACGAGGGGUGCAAACGCUUGACUUGAGUGUCGACAAAGGUGUGACUUGAUUUGUAUUUGUCGAAAUAUUGCCUUCUCCUAACCUGGCAACCUGGCAGAUGGGUCGAGUCCGCUGGUGCCGAAUGCCCAAACGCUGAUCACAUUUCAACAGAGUCGGCACGAUUGAAGUUAUUAGUGAGAACUGCAUUCCACCGCCAAUUGGAGAGGUCACAGAACCACUGUGCUCUGCCAUUUUCGGUCUAUUUGCCUUUCUGAAGAAGAUCUGAGCCGUCUCAAAUCCAUUGUUUAACGGCGUCAUGUUCGAAUUACCGUCCUGCCCGAGCCCUGCGGUCCACGUUGCAGGCAUCGCAGGCAGUGAGCCUCAGUGCUCACUAUGCCAGAUGUUAGCCUGCCCUAAGCUUGUACAUUAUCCCGAUCCAGGAGAGGUUCUCAGCAAUCAGUGCGAAAUUCAUUCUGCUAUUGUUUUCGUGAUUGUCGAUUAUCUGUGGCAGGCCUGUCAACAGUGAGGUCGCCAACGGCUUUGGGAUCUUUUUAACCACCUUGGUCACAAACAGUGUUUGGUGUUUCCUCACGGUGGACGCACACUGAAACUGUGUAGGUUGGUCGAAGAGCAAUCUGGUAGAAUAGUGGUCAGAACGUGCUGCGGAAGCAACCACUCAACCUGUCACGAUUCGGUUUCAGUGAGAAGAGAUCCCGUUUUUACAGGAACAAAGUAACCCAUUCGUGACCUUUUGAGUAGUUUGAUAGAUGCAAUUCGCAUUCUUCAAUGCCACCCAUCUGUGUAUCUCUGAGGCACAUGCUAAUAAUGAAUAAUAAUGCUUCUCGGAGCAAAGAAUUCUAUCGAAAGCGAAUCGCUUCAUAGCCGCAAAGAGUCUGGAUUACAUCAUUCGUUGUUGCUGGAGAGUUUGGAAUUCCAACUUUAACCCUGUAUGGUUUCUUAUGCGCUGCAUUCAUCUUGCCUUUGUUGCCAGAUAGACACGUUCUUCUUUGUACCCUCCUUACUAAAAAAAGCCAUGAAUCCCUGACAUCUAAAGAGGUCAUUUCACCCUUGUUACUCUACCCGUUGUUAUUCGUUAGUUUGACCUGCCACCUUGCAACGUAAGUGAGGCUUGCAGAUACUGCAUCAACUAGAAAUUUAUUUUGUCUACUAAGAAGAUAGCAAUGAGACGUGCUGGACACACUGCGAGGUAGAGCAGUAAUCCAUGUGUGAACCACAUCAUACAUCGUCAGAUCAACUAUCGAGUUGCUAAGAUUGAUACUCUCGAAAUUGACUCCGACACUGCAUUUUUGUAGCUUCCAGACAUUCUCUGAUUGUCAACGAAGGCUGUUUAAUCUUGUGAAGAAUGUGAAUUAUAAU